AAGUCGUAACAAGGUAUCCGUAGGUGAACCUGCGGAUGGAUCAUUACCAAAGAUUUUGUGAACUGUUUUGAAAACACUGUUGGGUGCUAUAGUUGGGCUAAUGUGGUGAUUCACUAAGCCUGGCUAGACCACCCGACGGUACCACACACGUAUAUAACCCUAAACUGACGUCUACUUUAGUAGUAAAUCAAACUAAAGACCAACGGAUCUCUUGGCUCUC
rnacentral:misc_RNA from 1 species